GAUGAACGCUGGCGGCGUGCCUAAUACAUGCAAGUCGAGCGAACGGACGAGAAGCUUGCUUCUCUGAUGUUAGCGGCGGACGGGUGAGUAACACGUGGAUAACCUACCUAUAAGACUGGGAUAACUUCGGGAAACCGUAGCUAAUACCGGAUAAUAUUUUGAACCGCAUGGUUCAAAAGUGAAAGACGGUCUUGCUGUCACUUAUAGAUGGAUCCGCGCUGCAUUAGCUAGUUGGUAAGGUAACGGCUUACCAAGGCAACGAUGCAUAGCCGACCUGAGAGGGUGAUCGGCCACACUGGAACUGAGACACGGUCCAGACUCCUACGGGAGGCAGCAGUAGGGAAUCUUCCGCAAUGGGCGAAAGCCUGACGGAGCAACGCCGCGUGAGUGAUGAAGGUCUUCGGAUCGUAAAACUCUGUUAUUAGGGAAGAACAUAUGUGUAAGUAACUGUGCACAUCUUGACGGUACCUAAUCAGAAAGCCACGGCUAACUACGUGCCAGCAGCCGCGGUAAUACGUAGGUGGCAAGCGUUAUCCGGAAUUAUUGGGCGUAAAGCGCGCGUAGGCGGUUUUUCAAGUCUGAUGUGAAAGCCCACGGCUCAACCGUGGAGGGUCAUUGGAAACUGGAAAACUUGAGUGCAGAAGAGGAAAGUGGAAUUCCAUGUGUAGCGGUGAAAUGCGCAGAGAUAUGGAGGAACACCAGUGGCGAAGGCGACUUUCUGGUCUGUAACUGACGCUGAUGUGCGAAAGCGUGGGGAUCAAACAGGAUUAGAUACCCUGGUAGUCCACGCCGUAAACGAUGAGUGCUAAGUGUUAGGGGGUUUCCGCCCCUUAGUGCUGCAGCUAACGCAUUAAGCACUCCGCCUGGGGAGUACGACCGCAAGGUUGAAACUCAAAGGAAUUGACGGGGACCCGCACAAGCGGUGGAGCAUGUGGUUUAAUUCGAAGCAACGCGAAGAACCUUACCAAAUCUUGACAUCCUUUGACAACUCUAGAGAUAGAGCCUUCCCCUUCGGGGGACAAAGUGACAGGUGGUGCAUGGUUGUCGUCAGCUCGUGUCGUGAGAUGUUGGGUUAAGUCCCGCAACGAGCGCAACCCUUAAGCUUAGUUGCCAUCAUUAAGUUGGGCACUCUAAGUUGACUGCCGGUGACAAACCGGAGGAAGGUGGGGAUGACGUCAAAUCAUCAUGCCCCUUAUGAUUUGGGCUACACACGUGCUACAAUGGACAAUACAAAGGGCAGCGAAACCGCGAGGUCAAGCAAAUCCCAUAAAGUUGUUCUCAGUUCGGAUUGUAGUCUGCAACUCGACUACAUGAAGCUGGAAUCGCUAGUAAUCGUAGAUCAGCAUGCUACGGUGAAUACGUUCCCGGGUCU
rnacentral:rRNA from 1 species